UGCAGUCGACGGUGUCUUCGGACACAGUGGCGGACGGGUGAGUAACGCGUGAGAAUCUGGCUUCAGGUCUGGGACAACCACUGGAAACGGUGGCUAAUACCGGAUGUGCCGAGAGGUGAAAGGUUAACUGCCUGAAGAUGAGCUCGCGUCUGAUUAGCUAGUAGGUGUGGUAAAGGCGCACCUAGGCGACGAUCAGUAGCUGGUCUGAGAGGACGAUCAGCCACACUGGGACUGAGACACGGCCCAGACUCCUACGGGAGGCAGCAGUGGGGAAUUUUCCGCAAUGGGCGAAAGCCUGACGGAGCAAUACCGCGUGAGGGAGGAAGGCUCUUGGGUCGUAAACCUCUUUUCUCAGGGAAGAACACAAUGACGGUACCUGAGGAAUAAGCAUCGGCUAACUCCGUGCCAGCAGCCGCGGUAAUACGGAGGAUGCAAGCGUUAUCCGGAAUGAUUGGGCGUAAAGCGUCCGCAGGUGGCGAUGUAAGUCUGCUGUUAAAGAGUCUAGCUCAACUAGAUAAGAGCAGUGGAAACUACAUAGCUAGAGUACGUUCGGGGCAGAGGGAAUUCCUGGUGUAGCGGUGAAAUGCGUAGAGAUCAGGAAGAACACCAGUGGCGAAGGCGCUCUGCUAGGCCGUAACUGACACUGAGGGACGAAAGCUAGGGGAGCGAAUGGGAUUAGAUACCCCAGUAGUCCUAGCCGUAAACGAUGGAUACUAGGCGUGGCUUGUAUCGACCCGAGCCGUGCCGUAGCUAACGCGUUAAGUAUCCCGGCCUGGGGGAGUACGCCGGCAACGGUGAAACUCAAAGGAAUUUGACGGGGG
rnacentral:rRNA from 1 species